AUGAGAUUGCGAACAGGAGGGGGGAAAGGGGACAGCCCUGUCUAGUCCCGUUCGCGAUGGUGAACGUCUGUGCUACGGUGUUUGGUAGUAGGAGUCGCCCAGUGGGGUGGUCGUAAAUUGUAGUGAGCAUGUUUAGGAACCCGUCCGAGAAUCCCUGGUGCCUCAGCACGCUGAACAGGUAGGGCCAGAGAAGGCGGUCGAAAGCCUUCUCUGCGUCCAAUGAGAGCGCCACCGUCGGGAUGUUCCGAUGUUGGGCGUACCAGAUAGUAUUGUAGACCCUCCUCGUGUUAUCGGCCGCUUGUCUCUUGGGAAUGAAACCAACCUGGUCAGGGUGAAUCAAAUUAGGCAGGAAGGC